rnacentral:rRNA from 1 species
GAGUUUGAUCCUGGCUCAGGAUGAACGCUGGCGGCGUGCCUAAUACAUGCAAGUCGAGCGAACAGAUGAGAAGCUUGCUUCUCUGAUGUUAGCGGCGGACGGGUGAGUAACACGUGGGUAACCUACCUAUAAGACUGGGAUAACUCCGGGAAACCGGGGCUAAUACCUGAUAAUAUUUUGAACCGCAUGGUUCAAUAGUGAAAGGCGGCUUCGGCUGUCACUUAUAGAUGGACCCGCGCCGUAUUAGCUAGUUGGUAAGGUAAUGGCUUACCAAGGCGACGAUACGUAGCCGACCUGAGAGGGUGAUCGGCCACACUGGAACUGAGACACGGUCCAGACUCCUACGGGAGGCAGCAGUAGGGAAUCUUCCGCAAUGGGCGAAAGCCUGACGGAGCAACGCCGCGUGAGUGAUGAAGGUUUUCGGAUCGUAAAACUCUGUUGUUAGGGAAGAACAAAUUUGUUAGUAACUGAACAAGUCUUGACGGUACCUAACCAGAAAGCCACGGCUAAUACG